rnacentral:sRNA from 20 species
GUCAACAACCCCCCACUAGAAGUGGGGGGCUUGCAGGAGCAAUCCUACAAGCUCCAAGUUGACCAGACUCAGCAUUUUUUAGGUGCUACGUUACCGUAGAAAGCUACAACAGGUACGGCAGGGUGCUUCUCCAGCCUUGCCCACUACG